UUUCUAGUCAUAAAAUUAUAACUUUCUGUGAUAUUUUUGGCUCUUCAUGUAUGUUGGUUAGUUUCACAACUCACUGCCUGUGCAAUUUCCUUUCAGUUCACUGAUUGCUUUGCAUAGACCCUCCAGGCCCAGGCUGGCUGAUCAGAUUUUAUAAACAGGACCUUUGCAAUGUGAGCUGAUCAGCAUCAGGCAGGCAGGGGCAGCAAGAUGGUGCCACAGACUCUGUUCCUCAUGUCCCUGUUGCUCUGGGCCUCUGGUGCCAGUGGGGACAUUGUGCUGACCCAUUCUCCAGCCUCUCUGGCUGCGUCUCCAGGAGAAAGGGUCACCAUCAACUGCAAGUCCAGUCAGAGUGCGAGCAGCUAUAUAAGCUGGUAUCAGCAGAAACUAGGACAGGCUCCUAAGCUGCUCAUCUACAGUGCAUCUAAAUGGGCAUCUGGGGUCCCUGACAGGUUCAGCGGCAGUGGGUCUGGGACAGACUUCACUCUCACCAUCAGCAGCCUCCAGGCUGAAGAUGUCGCAGUUUAUUAUUGUCAGUAUGGUUAUUAUAGCUCUACUCCCACAGUGCUUCGGCCUCGAACACAAACCUCUUCCCCAGGGCUACAGGCCAGUUAGUGUUCACUGCACCAGCUGCUUUCUUUCUGUUCAGCCCUGAACACGCACGCUUCCUCUGUCUGUCGCAAAGUCUGCAUCUCCUGACUAAUUCCUUGGAGUAUUUGCAGGACCCAGGAGAAAAUUAAGGGAUGUGGCUUCUUCUGUAUCCCCCUUUGUGGUAAAUUACAUAUGAAAAAAGCUGUAAAAAUAUCUUAUGGACUCUGUCAGGAAUUUUCAUGUCACAGGAACUUGUAUGUCUCACGUGGAUAGAUCACAUGACUGAGUUUGGGAAGGAUCCAGUGAGUUUUAUGAUCUGAAAGAUCAGUUCUCUCUUCCCUGUGCCUUCUUGACUCUUGGAUGUACCCAUUCAAUUCCUUGUUUUCCCUGCCUUUCUCCUUUCGCUGCAGCUAUCCCUGACAACUCUGGACCUGGCCCAAUAUUAAACCUAGGCCCUCCAUAUUUAAAAUGUCCCCUAUAGAAGGUAGUAUUCCUCUCUUACUUUUUCCUUCCAUGGAUCCUUUUUUCCAGCCAAGCCUUCCUGGUCAAUGUCACUGAACGUGUUUUCCUGCUCUAACCUCCCAUUUUACUGCCCUUUCCUCCUCUCUCCA